GACGAACGCUGGCGGCGUGCUUAACACAUGCAAGUCGAACGCUGAACCCGCUUCGGUGGGGGAUGAGUGGCGAACGGGUGAGUAACACGUGGGCAACCUGCCCCCGGCUCUGGGAUAACUCCAAGAAAUUGGGGCUAAUACCGGAUGUGACCGCUGGCCGCAUGGUCUGGUGGUGGAAAGGGUUUCCGGCUGGGGAUGGGCCCGCGGCCUAUCAGCUUGUUGGUGGGGUAGUGGCCUACCAAGGCGACGACGGGUAGCCGGCCUGAGAGGGUGACCGGCCACACUGGGACUGAGACACGGCACAGACUCCUACGGGAGGCAGCAGUGGGGAAUAUUGCGCAAUGGGCGGAAGCCUGACGCAGCGACGCCGCGUGGGGGAUGACGGCCUUCGGGUUGUAAACCUCUUUCAGCAGGGACGAAGCGCAAGUGACGGUACCUGCAGAAGAAGCACCGGCCAACUACGUG
rnacentral:rRNA from 1 species